AGGUCGGAAUCCGCUAAGGAGUGUGUAACAACUCACCUGCCGAAGCAACUAGCCCUGAAAAUGAGGAGGAAAAUGAGUCAAGUGAGGAGAGACGUGUCAUCCUCGGAUGGCCGUCCCCCAUGACGCCCUGACGAGUAAGAGGGUCGCGGCCGUGUGCGCAGAAGGGUCUGGGCGCGAUCCUGCCUGGAGCCGCCGUCGGUGCAGAUCUUGGUGGUAGUAGCAAAUACUCCAGCGAGGCCCUGGAGGACUGACGUGGAGAAGGGUUUCGUGUGAACAGCCGUUGCACACGAGUCAGUCGAUCCUAAGCCCUAAGUGAAAUCCUAUGUGAAUGAGGUGUCCUAAAACAAAUGUUUUGUGUACAAGACACACACCCGUUGGGCGAAAGGGAAUCCGGUUUCUAUUCCGGAACCCGGCAGCGGAACCGCAUACCAUUCGGGCCCUCGUAAGAGUGUUCGUACCCACAUCCGCAGCAGGUCUCCAAGGUAAAGAGCCUCUAGUCGAUAGAUUAAUGUAGGUAAGGGAAGUCGGCAAAUUGGAUCCGUAACUUCGGAAUAAGGAUUGGCUCUGAGGAGCAGGGCGUGUCGGGCUUGGUCGGGAAGCGGGUCUGGCUGACGUGCCGGGCCUGGGCGAGGUGAACGGCUUCGGCCUGGAUCCGAGCUCGGUCCCGUGCCUUGGCCUCCCGCGGAUCUUCCUUGCUGCGAGGCUUCUGCAAUAGCGGUCGCCCUCUUCGGCCGCCAUUCAACGUUCAGCUGAGAACUGGCACGGACUAGGGGAAUCCGACUGUCUAAUUAAAAUAAAGCAUUGCGAUAGCCCCCGCGGGUGUUGACGCAAUGUGAUUUCUGCCCAGUGCUCUGAAUGUCAUUGUGAAGAAAUUCAAAAAAGCGCGGGUAAACUGCGGGAGUAACUAUGACUAUGGCGGCGUGACACAUUAUUAACAGCUCCGCACUUAUGUGCAAGUAAGUUUUAGUGGCAAUAAUUGUAAGCAAUUGAAAAGUGUGCGUGACAGACUAAAACUUUUGUUCAUGAGCAUUUUUAAAUAUUAAACAUGGAUGGAAAUACUAUCCAAAUAUAAAUAAUAAACAAAGUGAUAACUGGUGCGAGUGUACGAACAGGUGGUGCAAUAAGAGAAAAUUUUUAGACACUAAUAACUGUUUAAAAAAAUACCGCCUGUGUGAAUGUAUCUCAAAAUUAUUGAGAACUGUAAUUUUUGUCAAACAAUUUGAUGUACCACAUGUAAAUGGUAGCUGUCAUAGUUUUUAAACAAUUAAUAAUUGAAUAUUUUAUAUUGUUGCUGCCUUUUCCAGGGAUUUUUUUUAAAAGAGAUAAAUCAGGCGUGAAUCCUC
rnacentral:ncRNA from 1 species